UACGGAGGGUGCGAGCGUUGUCCGGAAUCACUGGGCGUAAAGGGCGCGUAGGUGGCGACCCAAGUCGAUGGUGAAAGCUCGUCGCUCAACGACAAGUCGGCCACCGAUACUGGGUUGCUCGAGCACUGUAGAGGCAGAUGGAAUUCCGGGUGUAGCGGUGGAAUGCGUAGAGAUCCGGAAGAACACCGGUGGCGAAGGCGGUCUGCUGGGCAGUAGCUGACACUGAGGCGCGACAGCGUGGGGAGCAAACAGG
rnacentral:rRNA from 1 species